GAGAAAACCUGCAAGGAUUGCUAAUCCAUGCCUCCGUACUUAAAAUUACGGCUUUCUCA
rnacentral:tRNA from 1 species